AGGAUUCCCCUAGUAACUGCGAGUGAAGCGGGAUGAGCUCAAAUUUAAAAUCUGGCCUAGCCCGAGUUGUAAUCUAUAGAAGCGUUUUCGGCCGUUGACCUGGACAAGUCCCUUGGAACAGGGCGUCAUAGAGGGUGAGAAUCCCGUCCUUGCCAGGCUCCCAACGUCUAUGUGAUACGUUUUCGAAGAGUCGAGUUGUUUGGGAAUGCAGCUCAAAACGGGUGGUAAAUUCCAUCUAAAGCUAAAUAUUGGCACGAGACCGAUAGCGAACAAGUACCGUGAGGGAAAGAUGAAAAGCACUUUGGAAAGAGAGUUAAACAGUACGUGAAAUUGCUGAAAGGGAAGCGCUUGAAGUCAGUCGCGUUUGCAGGAACUCAGCCUCUGGUGUAUUUUCUUGCAGACGGGCCAACAUCGAUUUCAGGCGGGGAACAAGGAUUUGGGGAAUGUGGCAGCUUGCUGUGUUAUAGCCCUUUGUCGUACGCCCCGCUCGGGAUCGAGGACCGCGGCUUUGCCUAGGAUGUUGGCGUAAUGGCUUUAAGCGACCCGUCUUGAAACACGGACCAAGGAGUCUAACAUGUCUGCGAGUGUUUGGGUGUUAAACCCAUGCGCGCAAUGAAAGUGAACGUAGGUGGGAGGCCUCGGCCGCACCAUCGACCGAUCCGGAUCUCUUGUGAUGGAUUUGAGUAAGAGCAUAUAUGUUGGGACCCGAAAGAUGGUGAACUAUGCCUGAAUAGGGCGAAGCCAGAGGAAACUCUGGUGGAGGCUCGUAGCGAUUCUGACGUGCAAAUCGAUCGUCAAAUUUGGGUAUAGGGGCGAAAGACUA
rnacentral:rRNA from 1 species